UACGGGGGGAGCAAGCGUUGUUCGGAUUUACUGGGCGUAAAGGGCGCGUAGGCGGCCACCGCAAGUCGGUUGUGAAAUCUCUGGGCUCAACCCCGAGCGGUCGUGAGAAACUGGCAGGCUAGAGUGCGGGAGAGGAGAGUGGAAUUCCUGGUGUAGCGGUGAAAUGCGCAGAUAUCAGGAAGAACACCCGUGGCGAAGGCGGCUCUCUGGGGACGGGUACUGACG
rnacentral:rRNA from 1 species